ACGAACGCUGGCGGCGUGCCUAAUACAUGCAAGUAGAACGCUGAAGAGAGGAGCUUGCUCUUCUUGGAUGAGUUGCGAACGGGUGAGUAACGCGUAGGUAACCUGCCUUGUAGCGGGGGAUAACUAUUGGAAACGAUAGCUAAUACCGCAUAACAAUGGAUGACACAUGUCAUUUAUUUGAAAGGGGCAAUUGCUCCACUACAAGAUGGACCUGCGUUGUAUUAGCUAGUAGGUGAGGUAAUGGCUCACCUAGGCGACGAUACAUAGCCGACCUGAGAGGGUGAUCGGCCACACUGGGACUGAGACACGGCCCAGACUCCUACGGGAGGCAGCAGUAGGGAAUCUUCGGCAAUGGGGGCAACCCUGACCGAGCAACGCCGCGUGAGUGAAGAGGGUUUUCGGAUCGUAAAGCUCUGUUGUAAGUCAAGAACGGGUGUGAGAGUGGAAAGUUCACACUGUGACGGUAGCUUACCAGAAAGGGACGGCUAACUACGUGCCAGCAGCCGCGGUAAUACGUAGGUCCCGAGCGUUGUCCGGAUUUAUUGGGCGUAAAGCGAGCGCAGGCGGUUUGAUAAGUCUGAAGUUAAAGGCUGUGGCUCAACCAUAGUUCGCUUUGGAAACUGUCAAACUUGAGUGCAGAAGGGGAGAGUGGAAUUCCAUGUGUAGCGGUGAAAUGCGUAGAUAUAUGGAGGAACACCGGUGGCGAAAGCGGCUCUCUGGUCUGUAACUGACGCUGAGGCUCGAAAGCGUGGGGAGCGAACAGGAUUAGAUACCCUGGUAGUCCACGCCGUAAACGAUGAGUGCUAGGUGUUGGAUCCUUUCCGGGAUUCAGUGCCGCAGCUAACGCAUUAAGCACUCCGCCUGGGGAGUACGACCGCAAGGUUGAAACUCAAAGGAAUUGACGGGGGCCCGCACAAGCGGUGGAGCAUGUGGUUUAAUUCGAAGCAACGCGAAGAACCUUACCAGGUCUUGACAUCCCGAUGCUAUUUCUAGAGAUAGAAAGUUACUUCGGUACAUCGGUGACAGGUGGUGCAUGGUUGUCGUCAGCUCGUGUCGUGAGAUGUUGGGUUAAGUCCCGCAACGAGCGCAACCCCUAUUGUUAGUUGCCAUCAUUCAGUUGGGCACUCUAGCGAGACUGCCGGUAAUAAACCGGAGGAAGGUGGGGAUGACGUCAAAUCAUCAUGCCCCUUAUGACCUGGGCUACACACGUGCUACAAUGGUUGGUACAACGAGUUGCGAGUCGGUGACGGCGAGCUAAUCUCUUAAAGCCAAUCUCAGUUCGGAUUGUAGGCUGCAACUCGCCUACAUGAAGUCGGAAUCGCUAGUAAUCGCGGAUCAGCACGCCGCGGUGAAUACGUUCCCGGGCCUUGUACACACCGCCCGUCACACCACGAGAGUUUGUAACACCCGAAGUCGGUGAGGUAACCUUUUGGAGCCAGCCGCCUAAGGUGGGACAGAUGAUUGGGGUG
rnacentral:rRNA from 1 species